AGAAUUUUUCACAAUGGGCGAAAGCCUGAUGGAGCGACGCCGCGUGGGGGACGAAGGGCUUCGGCUCGUAAACCCCUGUCAUUUGCGAACAAGGGCGCCAACCUAAUACGUUGUCGCUUGAUAGUCGCAGAAGAGGAAGGGACGGCUAACUCUGUGCCAGCAGCCGCGGUAAUACAGAGGUCCCAAGCGUUGGUCGGAUUCACUGGGCGUAAAGGGUGCGUAGGUGGUGGACUAAGUCAGGUGUGAAAUCUCCGGGCUCAACCCGGAGUCUGCGCCCGAAACUGGUUCGCUCGAGGAUGGGAGGGGAGACUGGAAUUCUCGGUGUAGCAGUGAAAUGCGUAGAUAUCGAGAGGAACACCGGUGGCGAAGGCGAGUCUCUGGACCAUUCCUGACACUGAGGCACGAAAGCCGGGGGAGCAAAC
rnacentral:rRNA from 1 species